GCUUCAUGAUGAUAUCAAGGCAAUCGUGACCCCAUUGGCAGGUGGUUCCCCUCAUCCCAUUCCUUACAAACAGGUCUGUAAUCUUGGUGGUCAAUGCAGAGUAGUGUGUGUUCACUGUAAGGGCAGACCAACAGAAUUUCCCGUUCUUCCUUACUGCUUCUCUCCUGGAGAAGGAAUUCCUCUUCUUGCAGAGUAUUCCAAGGGGUGGUCAGGGAUGGGGGCAUAAGACAAGCUCAGUGUGCCUAGGAUAUGGGUUGCUGGGUGCUGCCAGAAUGAUGCCUUUUCGGGGCUCUGUGAGCACAAGACUUUGGUAAUCUGAAAGCU